rnacentral:ncRNA from 1 species
CAAAGGCAUGGUCCCGACCUUACUAUCAGCUUUAACCCAACUUACACAUGCAAGUCUCCGCAGCCCUGUGAAUACGCCCUCAAUCCCCCGCCCGGGGACAAGGAGCAGGCAUCAGGCACAAAUUUUUUAGCCCAUAACGCCUAGCCAAGCCACGCCCCCAAGGGAGGUCAGCAGUGAUAAACAUUAAGACAUAAGUGAAAACUUGACUCAGUCAGGGUUAAGAGGGCCGGUAAACCCUCGUGCCAGCCACCGCGGUUAGACGAUGGGCCCCAGUUGAUUAUAUAGCGGCGUAAAGGGUGGUUAGGAUAAACAAAAUAAUAAAGCCAAAUGGCCCUUUGGCCGUCAUACGCUUCUAGGUGUCCGAAGCCCAACCACACGAAAGUGGCUUUAACAAGACCCGCCCGACCCCACGAAAGCUAAGAAACAAACUGGGAUUAGAUACCCCACUAUGCUUAGCCAUAAACCUAGACGUCCACCUACUGCUUGACGUUCGCCCGGGUACUACGAGCAUCAGCUUAAAACCCAAAGGACCUGACGGUGCCUUAGAUCCCCCUAGAGGAGCCUGUUCUAGAACCGAUAACCCCCGUUUAACCUCACCACUUCUAGUUAUCCCAGCCUAUAUACCGCCGUCGCCAGCUCACCCUGUGAAGGUAAUAAAAGUAAGCAAAACGGGCACAGCCCAGAACGUCAGGUCGAGGUGUAGCGCACGAAGUGGGAAGAAAUGGGCUACAUUUUCUAUCAUCAGAACACUACGAAUUUGGCAACAUGAAAUAGUGCUUGAAGGAGGAUUUAGUAGUAAAAAGGAAGCAGAGUGUCCUUUUGAAUCCGGCUCUAAGGCGCGUACACACCGCCCGUCACUCUCCCCUGUUAAUUACGCAUAAUAUAUAUUUAAUACCAAAGCAUCAACUAGAGGAGGCAAGUCGUAACAUGGUAAGUGUACCGGAAGGUGCACUUGGAUUAAACC